rnacentral:rRNA from 1 species
UACGAAGGGGGCUAGCGUUGUUCGGAAUUACUGGGCGUAAAGCGCACGUAGGCGGAUUUGUAAGUCAGGGGUGAAAUCCCGGGGCUCAACCUCGGAACUGCCUUUGAUACUGCAAGUCUUGAGUCCGAUAGAGGUGAGUGGAAUUCCUAGUGUAGAGGUGAAAUUCGUAGAUAUUAGGAAGAACACCAGUGGCGAAGGGCGGCUCACUGGAUCGGUACUGACGCUGAGGUGCGAAAGCGUGGGGAGCAACGGG